AAUCAACGCUGGCGGCGUGCCUAACACAUGCAAGUCGAACGCGAAAGUCCCGCAAGGGAUCAGUAGAGUGGCAAACGGGUGAGUAACACGUGGGUGACCUGCCUUCGAGUGGGGGAUAACGUCCCGAAAGGGACGCUAAUACCGCAUGACAUCCUGCCUUUGAAUAGGUGGAGAUCAAAGCUGGGGAUCGCAAGACCUAGCGCUCAAAGAGGGGCCCGCGCCUGAUAGCUAGUUGGUGGGGUAACGGCUCACCAAGGCAUCGAUCAGUAUCCGGCCUGAGAGGGCGGACGGACACACUGGGACUGAGACACGGCCCAGACUCCUACGGGAGGCAGCAGUGGGGAAUUGUUCGCAAUGGGCGCAAGCUUGACGACGCAACGCCGCGUGGAGGAUGAAGACCUGGUCGUAACU
rnacentral:rRNA from 1 species